CCCACUCAUGCUCUCUCUCUCAAAUAAAUAAACAAAACCUUAAGAAAUAAAAAAAUAAACCAAAAGGGUCUCCGAGAGCUGGCAGGGACUGCAGUGACGUCACCCAGGGCGGAGGCCGCAGGCUUCUGGUAACCUAAUCUCAGAAGUGAGAUCGCAGCACUUUUCCUGCACUGUUUUUUAGAAGCGAGUCACCAGGUCUGGCCGGCCCUCUAGGAGAGGGGGUUCCACAAGGCAGGAGGUAGGUGUCACUGGGGCCCAUCCGAGAGGCUGCCCCGAACACCUGAAGAGGAAUUUGCUUUGUUCCCCAGGAACUAGAAUCUCCUAUUGUGAUUUUUGCAAGUUGGAAGGAUUGUCCAGCCAGGGCUCAUCGGAGGUUGAGAGAGAUGCAGGCCACUCCCAGUUUCAAAACAGAAGAUGCCCCAACAGGCAUUAAGAUGUCAUCUGCAAAACAACCCCAAAGGGAGGUAGGUGUUGUAAUGAUCCCCACUUCACAGAGGAGGAAACUGAGGCAGACAGGUGGGCAUCCGUCCCAGGCCACAUGUGGGUACGUGCACUGGCCCUUCUGGGCACCCUGCCCGUCCAGACAGGCUGUGGCCCCCAUGUGUUCUGCAAUGCUCUGGGGGGUGGGGGGCUUUGGGGAGGGUGUGGACAGGCUGCGCUGGGCUGCCAACACCUCGUUCCCCUGGGGGUGGCACGGACGCCCACCCCCUACAUGUGUGUCAGACGAACGUGCAGGACAAGCGUGGUACACUCGCCCGAAAUUGGGUCAGGGAACUCCUAGAGGGACAUGGCCUGUGCCUGUGGACGGGGAGAGGCCCCCCAGUCGCUGCUCGCCCCGCCUGGCAUCAUUCCUGUGCCCGAGAGCAUGGGGCACCCAGCAUGCAGCGAGACCGUCUAUGAUUCAGAGCAUGACAUGAGAAGAACCUCCGAAUGGACAUCCAGCUGCGUGAGAUGCGCGAGACCAGAGACCGUGUCUGGCAGGACCCCGCCCCCAUCCCCCCUCUCUCUCCCAGGAAUUUUCUAGCACAAGCCCAGUCUCCAGACCUUCCCUGGCCCCUAGGCUCCACUUUGGGGAUUCUCCAACCUUCCAGAGACUGAUCCAAGUGGUAGGCAGGUGCCCACUGCUCCUGACUUUCAGUAUUUUUCAAAAUGUGGCCCCGGGUCCUCUGCACCCGAAUCAGCCGCAGGUGUGUGUAAAUGCAGAGUCCUGGGCUGGCGCCCUGGCCCUUAGGGGCAUCUGCAUUUUGGUAAGGGCCACAUGCCUCCCUGUGCAGGAAGGCCUCAUGGGGAACUGCCGGGGAUGGGGCCCUCGGCCGGUUUGUGAAUUUGCUGGAUCUUCAGUUCCGUCUCCUCCACUCCAGCCGUUAUCGCCAAGCAAGCACCGUGUACCCCAGCACCCCUCCGUCCUCCCCACCCACUACUCCCCAGGAAUGAAGCUGCCUUUGGGGCCCUGGGGGCCUCCACCCCAGGGCACAGAAGGAGCAGGUCAGCCAAGGGGAUUUUGACUUGGACCAGCCCAGGAGAAGGAGCGUUUUAAACAAGGGUGCCCCUUCCUGGCCUUUGGAGUAAUGAAGACACCCCAAGGGGCACCCCCUUGAAGCCUCCCGCCUUGCCCACCACCUCAUCUCACCAGCGCUGGUGGCCCCCGCGGGCACAAGGCCGGGGGGCUGUACAGGAACCCAUCCCGAGACCCCCCCAGGCCUGGAGACGGGCUCUGGCAGGAACACAGGCUGCCGCAGGGUAAAGGCUGGCCCAGCUCUGGAGGGACGGCUUCCCAUGCUCAGCAGUCCUGGGCAGGUGCAGGGGAGGGAGACCCCAUGGCCAGCAGCUCCCGCUCCCUUGAGCAGGGGGUCUGUUCCGGGGGGUGGGGAGGUCAUCUUCCUGGGAGGAGGCACUUCCUCGUGCCAACUGAGGGCCCUGCUUUGUGAACUGAAGCUCUUCCUUCUUGUUCUGCCCUCCAGAGACUUGCUCAAAUGAUCAAUACGCUUUUAAUUAAACUCCCAACUGCUUCAAGAGGA